rnacentral:rRNA from 1 species
AUUGAACGCUGGCGACAGGCCUAACACAUGCAAGUCGAGCGCGAAAGUCUUCGGAUGAGUAAAGCGGCGAACGGGUGAGUAAUGCAUGGGAAUCUGCCUGGUAGUGGGGGACAACGUCUCGAAAGGGACGCUAAUACCGCAUACGCCCUACGGGGGAAAGGGGGGAUCUUCGGACCUCUCGCUAUCAGAUGAGCCCAUGUCAGAUUAGCUAGUUGGUGAGGUAAAGGCUCACCAAGGCGACGAUCUGUAACUGGUCUGAGAGGAUGAUCAGUCACACUGGAACUGAGACACGGUCCAGACUCCUACGGGAGCAGCAGUGGGGAAUAUUGGACAAUGGGGGCACCCUGAUCAGCCAUGCCGCGUGUGUGAAGAAGGCCCUAGGGUUGUAAAGCACUUUCAGU